GACGAACGCUGGCGGCGUGCCUAAUACAUGCAAGUAGAACGCACAGUUUAUACCGUAGCUUGCUACACCAUAGACUGUGAGUUGCGAACGGGUGAGUAACGCGUAGGUAACCUGCCUGGUAGCGGGGGAUAACUAUUGGAAACGAUAGCUAAUACCGCAUAAUAUUAAUUAUUGCAUGAUAAUUAAUUGAAAGGUGCAAUUGCACCACUACCAGAUGGACCUGCGUUGUAUUAGCUAGUAGGUGAGGUAACGGCUCACCUAGGCGACGAUACAUAGCCGACCUGGGAGGGUGAUCGGCCACACUGGGACUGGGACACGGCCCAGACUCCUACGGGAGGCAGCAGGAGGGAAUCUUCGGCAAUGGACGAAAGUCUGACCGAGCAACGCCGCGUGAGUGAAGAAGGUUUUCGGAUCGUAAAGCUCUGUUGUAAGAGAAGAACGGGUGUGAGAGUGGAAAGUUCACACUGUGACGGUAUCUUACCAGAAAGGGACGGCUAACUACGUG
rnacentral:rRNA from 1 species